UGGGGAAUAUUGCACAAUGGAGGAAACUCUGAUGCAGCAACGCCGCGUGAGUGAUGAAGGUCUUCGGAUUGUAAAACUCUGUCUUAUGGGACGAUAAUGACGGUACCAUAGGAGGAAGCCACGGCUAACUACGUGCCAGCAGCCGCGGUAAUACGUAGGUGGCAAGCGUUGUCCGGAUUUACUGGGCGUAAAGGAUGUGUAGGCGGAUAUUUAAGUGAGAUGUGAAAUCCCCGGGCUUAACUUGGGGGCUGCAUUUCAAACUGGAUGUCUAGAGUGCAGGAGAGGAAAGCAGAAUUCCUAGUGUAGCGGUGAAAUGCGUAGAGAUUAGGAAGAAUACCAGUGGCGAAGGCGGCUUUCUGGACUGUAACUGACGCUGAGGCAUGAAAGCGUGGGGAGCAAACAGG
rnacentral:rRNA from 2 species